rnacentral:rRNA from 1 species
GAUGAACGCUGGCGGCGUGCCUAACACAUGCAAGUCGAACGGACCUUGCCAUAUGGAAGUACUUGUACUGAAAGAUGGCGCUGGUUAGUGGCGGACGGGUGAGUAACACGUGAGUAAUUAACCUUCCAGACUGGGAUAACAACGGGAAACUGGUGCUAAUACCGGAUACGAUUUUCAGGCGGCAUCGCCUGGGGAUGAAAAGAGGCCUCUCCAUGGAAGCUCCUGCUGGAAGACAAGCUCGCGGCUGAUUAGCUAGUUGGUGGGGUAACGGCCUACCAAGGCAACGAUCAGUAGCCGGCCUGAGAGGGUGAACGGCCACACUGGGACUGAGACACGGCCCAGACUCCUACGGGAGGCAGCAGUGGGGAAUAUUGCACAAUGGGGGAAACCCUGACGCAGCAACGCCGCGUGAAUGAAAAAGGCCUUCGGGUUGUAAAGUUCUGUCAAUUGGGAAGAAACCUCCGGGGUCAAUAGCUCCGGAGAUGACGGUACCUAAGAAGGAAGCUCCGGCUAACUACGUGCCAGCCGCCGCCGUAAUAC